UGUGAAUUGCAACUUCAGAUAUUUAUAUGACUCCAUAGAUGAGAAAAGUCAUCUGCAUUUCUUAUUCCAAUUUAUUCUCUCUGAAAGAUGACAUCAAUCAGGAAUCAUCAUGUGAAAUUAUAUCUCAGGUCUUUCGAAUCUGAACUGCCGUGGUGAAAAGCAUGGAACAUAGUAUACUGGAGUCACUUUCCAUUGUGUGUUUGUUUGCUUUAUUUCAGAGGAAGUUCCAGGAGUAGCAAUUCACAGGAUCUAUUUUCUCAUUAGAUGAGAAUACUGGUGCCAAUGCUGUUUCUUUGAUGUGUGCUUUUCAUUUUACACUGCAAGCUAUCUCUACACAUGUUACAAGCAUUCAUGUGAAAAUGGGUGCAAUUGUUGAUUCCCCCAAUAGAAUUUUUUAUUGAUUUUAAGUAAGCAAGAACAGUUCAAAUAUUGUAAACAUUCCAAGCCUCAGAUGUAACUAGUAGACAUUUCACUUACGUAGAUCAUAUAUUGAGUGCCUAAUCAUAUAGACAACUCUAAAUAAAAUUUCUAGGUAAGUUAUUGAUUAACAUUCUGCCACCUUGUGCACACAGAUGCGCAAACUGCAUACUCAUUGAUCAAUCCUAUUGCCCCCCCCCAAGUCUACCUGAAAAACUUAGCAUGUGAAGAGAUUUGAGUUGGUUGUUCCAGCUCAACUGUAUGGCUGAACUUUUGCCACUUUGUAACUAGCCUAAGUAUUACUUCCUGUGCAACUUUUCUGAAGCGCAUGAACCAGACCUUUGAAGAGUUUGUAAGUAAGCCAUUUUUUUUCUACUCUGGAGGAAGUGGGAAACUUUGGAGGGAACUUUGAAGGGCAUAUUUCAAAGGUCUAACAUCCUAUACUUCCACAAUUUACUUUGCUGUAUAUUUUGUGACUUUAAAUUACUGUACUGCUGGGAUUCUCUCGCCAAGAAUACUUGUCCCAAAGUUCGAUCUUGGCCUCCAGGGAAUCCUUCCUUCCUUCCUUCCUUCCUAACCAACCAACCGACCAACCUGCUUUUCUCUAUGUCACACAGAGAAAUGCAGAAGAGUGGUUUCACCCCUCAUCUGCAUCAGUAGAUGUCUAGCAACUAUCAGUUGCCAUCAUGGUCCACCAAUGCUCGUUUAAGAAAACAUCCAUGGCCAUCUGUCAUAGAUGCUUUAGUUUAGAUCAGGGGUCGGCAACCUAAGGCUCAUGGGCCACAACUGGCCCAUGGGGGUUGUUUAACCGGUCCAUGGACCCCCGCUGCCUGCUCAGUCAGCUCCUGUGCGCUGCGCUAAACCAGUGUGGAGCAGAGCGGGGAACCACCUUCCGCGAUGCCGGCUGGCUUCCCAAGCUGUGCACGCCUCCUCCGUGCCAGAAGGAGUGCUGGAAAUAGCGUUUGUGCAUGUGUGUGUGUGUGUGCGUGCACACACUCCGGCUCACCUUGGCGUCUGCGGGACCGUGAACCUGCCCAAGCCACAAAAACUUUGCCGUCCCCUUGUUUAGAUUCCUUCAUUGCUGGUCAAAUCAGUUAUCAUCAAAUGGGCACAAGAUAUAGGGCACAAUAUACAAUUUGAAUAUUGGGAAAAGCUGUGGAAAGUGGAUGUGAAAUUUACAGAUUGUUCUCUUUUGAAAGAAAAUUAUAUGAAAAUGAUGUGUAGAUGGUAAAUCACACCAGUACAAAUAGCAAAAAUGUACAAAACCCGGUCAAAUAUAUGUUGGAAAUGUAAAGAAAAAGGUACUAUGUAUCAUAUGUGGUGGGAAUGUAGAGAAGUUAAAAAAAAUUGGGAAAUGAUAUAUAAUGAAUUGAAAAAAAAUGUUUUAAAUGACAUUUGUAAAGAAACCAGAAGAUUUUUUUUUAGGAAUUUCAGGAUGAGACCUGACAAGAAAAACAAAGAAUUUAUUUAUGUAUGCCACAACAACAACAAGAGUCUUGUUAACACAAGGAUGGAAGAAGGAGGAAAUCCCAACGAAAGAACAAUGGCAAGAAAAACUGAUGAGUUAUGCAGAGUUGGCAAAGUUGACACAUAAACUAUGUGAGAAGGACAAUCGUGACUUCAAGGAAGAUUGGGAACUUUUUACAAACUAUUAAAAAAAAAACACAAAAUGACUUGGACUCCUUGGCAGGUUUUGAAUAAACACCCACAAAAUUAUUAAUAGAAUAUAUGACAGAUAAAGUAAUGAUAUGUACAAUUUUUAACAUGAAGAGAAUAAUAUGUGUAAACAAAUCAGAGAGGGGAGCUGAGGGAAGUCUUUGGUGGGGAGGUGAGGGAGGGAUGGGGAAUAAAAAGGGGGUGUGUGUAAUUGAUUAUUUGGAUUGAUAAUUUGUUUUGUUGAAAUUGUUUAAUAAAAAUAUAUUUAGAUUCCUGCAUUGCAGCAACUUGAAUGAGAUGACACUUGGUGUCCCUUCCAACUCUUCAGUUCUAUGAUUUUAUGAUCUCUUCCAGCCACAUGCAUCCAUAGAGCAAGGCAUUUAGCUGUUAGAUAUUCAGAAGCCUUGGGAUUACUAAUUCUUCCCUUGUCAUGGCUCAAUCACAGCCCUGUUACAUCAUGUAUGCCUUGACAGAAGUCACAGAAAAGCAUCAGCCGUCCAUUACAAUUUCUCACAUACCAUAAAUGAGAUCUACCUCUUUGAUGUCAACUUCCCAUGUCUCAUUUGGCAGAUUUGUCAUAUUAUCAGGACUUCAAUUGACCCACGGUUUCCCAUUCAACUUUGGGGCUUGUGAAGUAGGAAUAGCUUAUAAAUAUGUACCAAGUACUAUUUCCAGCACUAAGGGCUGCUUCAGACUGUGGUCUUUGCCUGUUCUUUUUAAAAUGUCUGUACAGGGGGAGAGUUAAUAGGUAGACCAAUAGAAAAGUCAGAGGUGGAGCCUACCUGUUUAUAAAAGGGCUUAGCCCGAGGAUUGGGUUGGUUGGGUUUAGUUAGUUGGUUGGUUGGGAAAAGGCAGUUGGGAAAGCAGUUGGCAGACAGUUGGAAUUAGAGAGACAGUUAGUGCAGUUGGUUUUUGUGGGAGGGGAGGUAGAAGAGUUAGAGACAGGAUAAAAAUAAGACUAAGAAGGUAAAGAGUAACAACAUUUUGAAUGCAGUUAAAGUUUAUUUGUGUCUGCAAUAAACUGCACUCUUCUUUGUUAACUUAAGAACCUGACUGAGACUAAGUGAUUUACCGGGGAGGACCUGGUUGGUGGCAGCGGAUUAGUGGUGUACGGGUCAAUAGUCCACGAGACGACUGGGGGCUCCAUACGAAUGCCACACAGACAUUCAAAAUACCUGCUCCAUCUUGACUCUUCUGAGGCAUGUAUUUGUUCAUGAAUUACACCAGGUUACAAGGGUCAUUGCAGUGAUUUCCACAACUGUGGCAAUACGUUUAUCAGUCACCAUAAUAAUAGGAACUGCUUGAAGGAAGCGGCAUUUAUAUUCCUGGACAAUCCCAGUCCAUGGGAUGUAUCAGCAGAGACUGCCUGGUCUUCAAAACAUAUUGCAUGGAUGAGUUUUUUUAUAUAUAAAAAAGUUUGAAUCAGACUGAUUUUCAAUACAAUAAGUAAACAUUAUAAUUAUAAUGAGUGAGGAAGCAUUAGGCACGCACCUCCUAUGUAAAAUAAUAAUAAUAAUGGAAACAUUAUUGAUAUGUGGGUGUCUUCUCAUUACCAAGGCCAGAUUCAAAGGAAGGAAUGUCAAAGUUCAAGAAAAAGAAGAGAAAACAAGGGAGAGAUGAUGAUGGAGGUGGAGAGGAUCUUUGAUAACUGGCUCUUUGGUGUACAGAGCAUUCAUAGGGGUGGUGCAAUUGGCUGAAUUUAAGUGGAGAUGAGUGGAGCCAAGUUGUUGAGGUUGGUGCUAAGAGCUUAGACAGUGUUUGGUGACUCUGUUGCAAUGGACUAAAGUGAAGUCUUUUGCCAACAGAGCAUUAUAGGGCACUGAGUCUUGUUAAGACACUGAGAGGCCCAGGGCAAAAUGCUUAUUUGAGGGCCCCUCCCUGAAAUCCCACAGCACAAUCCCACAGCACUUUGUGUCAGUUUCAUUUCCCCCUCAGCUGGAAAAAAUAUAUAUAAUACUUGGAAAAAACCCCAGCUAUAUUUGACAUCAGAAUAUUAACAUUUUAUGACUAAAGUUAAAGAAAAUAUUUACACAAAAUGACAAGCUGCAUUCAUAAUAUUUAAAAAGUCGUCUCAUCUUCUCCCCGCCUAGUUUUCUUGUCAACAAAUUCAGUGAUGAGAUUACCAAAAAAUAUUUCUCUCAGAAGAUCCCAAUCUAUAGAUAGAACAGAUAAUGAUGACUGUCUUGACUGUAGCUUUGUGGAAUGUAACUUAUUUUUUUUAAUAAAGACUAAUUUGGAGAAUGAUGUUUCUCCUUCAGCAUUCAAAAUUGGCAGAAUUAGAUAAAGGCUGAGAGCUAUGAUAGCAUCUGGGGAAGCUUCAACCAGAUCCUUAUUGUAAAUUAUCUUCAAAUGACUAUGUGCAGUAGUCUCAGAUCCAUCACACACCCCUGCAGUAUCUAAGAAAUGAAUAAAACAUUUUAGUUUAGAGGAUGGAAAAAUUUGCAGAUCAUUUGGGUAAGCUCUCACAAAGGCUUCUGCAUCCUUUUCCAGUGCACCAUUAUUUUGGGAAGAACUGUUCAGUUUUGCCAGGAAUCCAAAUAUAUUCACAGCUUCUAUGUAAGCACAGGAGAUUAUCUAACACACAGUAGUAUGCUUCCACCCUAAAUUUGUCUCUUCCUCUUUUGCAGUUACUUUUUUCCAUCUGAGAAAACAGAUCUGUGUCUCUGAAGAUACAGAUUCCACUUGAUUACUCAGUUUCUUUGCCUCCUCUUCAAAUUAUUCAAAGUUGUUCUGUAUAUCAACCUGGACACUGAGGUCCAGCUCCGAGGGCCUUCUGGCAGUUCCCUCACUGUGAGAAGCGAAGCUACAGAGAACCAGGGAGAGGGCCUUCUCGGUAGUGGGGGAAGAAGAAGACGAAGAAGAAGAGGAGGAGGAGGAGGAAGAAGAAGAAACAAUGAGAGAAACAGCAUUUCCCUCCCCUGACACAAUAUAAAGGGGCCUGGUUUUUGAAUUUUUUUGUGGACACAGUCAAAUCUGUGCAGGACUUUGUGCCAGAAUACAGCAUAAAAUAUAUUUCAAAUGUUUAAAAUUUCUUUACCAAAGAAAAUUUCUAACUUCUUACUUAAUCCACCUUUUCCCUUUAGAAUCAUUGGCAAUCUUUAGCAAGGCUUCCAUAUUACAGUCAUAAAAGAUGACAAGAGUUUGUGUAGCAUCUUCUCUACAGGACUAUCUUGUUUGAGACUGGUUUUUCAAUGUGUUUUUGGGUGUAUUCUUGUUAUCUGUGGAUCAUUGAUCAAUAUCGCCUUGAAGUAUUCUCCACCUGUGUUGGGCUAUCACACUAUUGCCUCGGGCUUAGAGGCUAGUGUUAGCUUCCAAAACACUCACAUUGCUUGUGGGGUCAGGCAAGUUCCCAGCACAUGUGCAGGGUGGAUGAAAGUUUCCAGCAGGUGGAAAAUUGGUGCUUGGAUUCCUACCAAACUCUGGUAAGGAAGCCUGUAACCAAUACGAAUUGUGGCCACUUCUAAUCCACACCAGUCUCCGCAUCGUUGUUGCUCCCAAACAACACACCUCGCUACAUGUGGCGACACAAUGAAUACACUUUAUUAUAUGCACUUGUUUCUGUGUUUAUAAGACGGCUGCAAUGGCAAAAAUUUAAAACUCUUGCCGCAACGUAAUUUACCAGGGAUUAAAUAUUGUGGGGUUUCGAAUAAACCAUCCAUUUUAUUUGCCCUGAUGGUGCCAAGCAAACCUUCCAUGCACUCUCCUUUGGAAAACAAAUUGCGUUCAGAGCUAUCAGAUUAAUGACGCUUAUAAAUAAAUAAGAAUCUUCCAUUUACUGUUAAUAGAAGACCAGCUGGCAUCCCACUGUUCAGCCGGAGGGGCAGGAGGUGCCGACAGAGAUUGGUGAUAGGUUGCCGAGUCAUUUUUCAUUUCCUCGCUGCUGCAGAACGCUUGCAAACGCUGCGAUGCAUAGAUCUCUUCCUGAAUGUUAGUUAUCACACUUGCCUAACAGAGAAAUAAGUAAUUAAAGUUUAAUAUGCAGCAUUUAGACUAUCUACAUCUCUCUGGAGGCUACUCAAAGGAAAUUUGGAAAGAAUGAAGCCAGGGUUUGUGUGUGUCUGUGUGUGUGUGUGUGUGUGUUUAAAUAAACCUAUUUGAUACCCAAUUCUGAUUUCGUCAGGUUUGUAUGGGAAAUUGAAUAGGAACCUCAAGGGGCAGGAGUCGCGUGGUUCCACUACGUUUCUGCUUAAUUAAACAGGACACAUGGAAAAUUGUAUACUUGCUCAGUGGAAAAUCUGUAGUUUUCAUUGAUUCAACAUGGGAGAUAACCAGGUUUGCACCGGUGGCUCUGACUACAAGAUGUACUUAUCUAGAGGAAGAUAUGCAACAUUUUGGACCUUACUUGCUUAUGUAACCUGGAGCUACUUCAGUUAAGUAGUUUUCUGUGCUUUGCAUCUGUUUAGCAUUGAAUUAUUAUGUACAACUGUACAACUUUCCCUCUACUGAGCCAUCACAGCCUACCAACUAUGACAGGGGGGCCACUAUUGGUUUAAUAAACCUGCUGCCCUCCCCACACCAGUCUAGGACUGCAAAAUCUAGGGUGGGGUCAAGAGUAUUACCUAUAUGUUGUAUUUUGUUUGGUAGGUCAUGCAGACCUGUACUUAAAGUGAGUUUUCUAUUUUAUUUUAUUUUUUGAAAUAUUUUUUAUUGGUUUUACAAAAUAAAUCACAUAAUUAACUUUUUUUUAAAAAAAAUAUUAAACCUAAAACAAGAUUCUUCCGAAUCUUAGGACUUCCCUCCUCAGGUCCUUUAAAUAUCUUAGUCAAUUGCAUAUUACAGUUCAUCCAAAUUACAGUCCUCCAAUAUGUCCAAAGUCUUUGUAACAUUGCAAGAGUUAUUCAAAGCCUGCCAGAGAGUUCAAGUGUUUACAGUGUUCUUUUAAAUACAAUCUAUAUUUGUCCCAUUCUCUACUGAAGGUUUGAUCCUCCUGAUUUCUGAUUUUCCCAGUCAGUCUAGCCAUCUCUGCAUAAUCAAGUAGUUUCAUUUGCCAAUCUGCAUUUGUCGGCGUAUUCUCCUUUUUCCAUCACUGGGCAAGCAGCUUCCUUGCAGCUGUAGUCGCGUACAUGAAUAGUCUUCUCAAAUCCUUCAGUAUGUCUGCACCUAAAAUUCCUAAGAGAAAGGCUUCUGGUCUUUUGACAAAAGUUAUUUUAAACAUUUUUUAAAAAUUCAUUAUAUAUCAUUUCCCAUACUUAUCUUUUUUACAAUUCCACCACAUAUGAUAAAAAGUGCCCUCUUUUCCCUGACAUUUCCAGCAGUGAGUUUUCUAGGAUAAAAAAAUUAGAAAACGUUCUGAGAAAAAAUGUGAUUGUGUAUGAAUUUUCUUGCAGAUCAAUGCAGAAAUCUGUUAGGACAGACUUUUGAAGACAUGCAAAACUGAUAUAGAAAGGAAAUAUGCUGGCCCAUCCAACCCCAAUAUGAACAUGGUAACUUUGCCUAUAACAUAGGAACAUCAGUGGAAAUGUUCAUGAAGUGUCUUAUCAAUACUGAUACGGAUGUAUUUACAGUCUUCUGUUCUUAUUUUAAGACAGAAUACAGAUGAUUCUCUGGUGUUCUCCAAGCAGUGACCACACCCAGAUCUGCUUAGGUUCAGCAAGAUGACCUUGUCCUGUACCUUUGGAUCAUUUUUCUGGAAUUGCACUGUGCAUCAAGAAUAAAUGGUAUUUAGACAUUGCUUCCACUUCAUCUAUGGAACAUUCGUGCAGAAUUCAUGAGGGCAUUCAUGAAAACCAUUAUUGAGGUAACAAUUUUUUGAUGUUCCAGGCCCAGAACAAUGAUGAACAAUGAUCUCAGUAACCAGAGCCGUCUUAAGCAUAUGCGGUGCUGGGGUGCAAAGAUCCGUCUGCCCCCCCCAGUUUCCCAGAGUUGUUUACCCUUUUUUUUGGGGGGGGGGGCAAAGUUGUUGGCCACCUCAGCUACAAUACAGGAGCCCGAGGCGGCAGCGGUGGCAGCAGAGCAAGGUCGGAGCCGAGCGCCUGGGGGUGGGGUGGGCAAGCAGAGCCCAGCACAACAGCAGUUGAGCCCAAGGCUCAUGUGAGCAGCAUGUGCUGGGCGGGCCUCUCGAUUGCCCGCCAAUCCCAGGUGUGCAGGAGGGCGGAGCUUGCCCACAGCAGAAGAGCUUUGGUACUCCAAUGGGCUCUUCUCCACUAGGCAGCAGCUGUCGGCUAUUCCCAAUCCCUGGACUCCAAAUCUCAACCCCGGACUCUCGACCUGGCGCCCCUGUGAGCCCAGUGCCCAGGUGCCCUGCACCCCUAGCACCUAUGGGUAAGACGGCCCUGUCAGUAACAACAACCCUGUAAGGCAGGUAAAUGGGAGGGGGAUGAAGUGAGAGGCUUUCCUAUAACCACCAAACAAGUCCAUUCCAGAGGAGAAGCUUGAACGGGAGGUUUCCUUGCUCAUUGCUCUUAGCUAUGAUAUUACGCCGUCUUCCUACAGCAAGACAACACUGUAUUGCAAGUUGCACGCAGUGUAAGGGUGGUCCCUCGUCCUACUCGUGAUUAAUAAAAAUUUGCAUAAAGAGUAGAAAUGCUGAUUGAUUUCUAAGGUUGUAGUCAAGGGUGCGGAAAUCACACAGCCCAGCCACUUUGCUUUCCCGACCUUAAAUAAAUUCACCGGCACUAUUCUUUCCUUUAGUGCCACCACAAUGCUAUUAUACAUGCGGCGUAUUACAUGAUGAAGUAUUCUUCAGAUAAAGGCACUGCAGGUGUUGGAGCUUAAUGGGUUGUUCAUGUACUAGAAUUCAGUCAUAAACCAGAAGAGAAAAAAAGGUGCUGUGCCGGGGAGGGGAGCUGUUGAUGAAGCAAAAUGCUGAGCUCAGUAUUAUAACACUGUGUUGAAUUGAUGAUCUUUGUGCUUUGCUGUUUAGAGUGCCAGUUUCCAGAGUUAACAGUGCAGCUGGCGGCUGACCUCUUAUUCACCAGCAUCCUCGACUAGAUACAGACAGUGCUGCUGCCUUCUCCAUGAACUAAAUUCUGAAAAUGACAUUGUCUGUUCUUCUUUGGCGAUCACUCGUAGCCGAGUAAGAUUGUCUUCCAUAAGCACGGUUUUAAGUGACUGUGGAGGCCAAUUCUGGAUCCACACGUCCUUCCGCAGUGGGGACAUAGGUUUCCAGGAGGGAGUUGAUCAUAGUGAGGGUUUGCCAAGCAUGCCUUCCUCUUCCUCUUCCCAUAUGCGCCUCCUCCCUCCAAUGACAAUGUGUAGAUCACUGCCAGUUAUUUUAUACUGGGAGUAGAUCACAACCUCUUAUGCAUUGGACUUGCCUGCACUAUACAAUUGGUAACCAACAAGAUGCCUUCUAGAUGCUGUAAUUCCAUUCCCAUCUUCCUCAACCAGCAAGGGCAAGGUUCAGGGAUGAUGGGAAUUGUAGUCUACUAACAUCUGGAGUAGGGAUGUGGGUGGCGCUGUGGUCUAAACCGCUGAGCCUUGGGCUUGCCGAUUGAAAGGUCAGUGGUUCGAAUCCCCACGACAGGGUGAGCUCCUGUUGCUUGGUCCCUGUUCCUGCCAACCUAGCAUUUGGAAAGCAUGUCAAAGCGCAAGUAGAUAAAUAGGUACCACUCCGGCUGGAAGGUAAAUGGCGUUUCCAUGUGCUGGUCUGGUGCCGGUGUUCCAUUGCACCUGAAGCGGCUUAGUCAUGCUGGCCACAUGACCCAGAAAAACUGUCUGCGGAGCAGACAAACGGCAUCUCCCUCAGCCUGUAAAGCGAGAUGAGCGCCGUAACCCCAGAGUCAUUCGCGACUGGACGUAACUGUCAGGGGUCCCUUUACCCUUUCCUUUUACCUAACAUCUGGUGUGCUCCAUGUUGGCUAACCCAUGUACUAUUUAUAUACAAGAGAGUUAAUUAAAUUGUUUUGCGGGUGUCAAGUCUGAUAAAAUCCACGAGUCUUUGUUUCUCAGCAAGCCUCUGGUCUGUUUUUGCAGAGAUCCUUUUUCACAAACGGCUCCCGUUCUCCCCCAUUUAGCAAUGCAACCUCAACAUCUUGUCAGAUUCAUUUAUUCCUAUUGGCAAGCUGGUUAAAGGCUUGUAACAGGGUGAAGACCUUUUGCAGACCCCGUGGGCUAGUGAGGGCAGACCCCUGAAAAAGAUAGAAAAAAGGAGGCGUCAGAUUAAUUGGGGGUAGAUGCAACAAAACGGUGCCAUCUCGGCCAUCAGGGAUUUGAAAAGGAGUUCAAUAGAGAGAGAAGCUGAAGGAAACUUAAUGAGCUGCAUGGAGACCAAAUGCUCCAAAUCUCCUCAAAAGGGAUUGAGGCUAGAUGGAAGGGCAGAACCAUAGCAGCUAAUUCACUGACCAACCUCUCUUGCAGUUUCUGGAUAGCGUCUUCAUAACUAGAAUCCGCUUUCAAAGUUUGGGGGACCAUGUGUGCAGUGAAAACUGUCCACUCUAUAGUUCAGAUCCUUAACUAUGCUUCUAUAGUAUGUGGCACAUUGGGAAAAACGCACAUGUUUGUUACUUUACAUUUUUCCCUCCCCAAGCCAUUUCUAUAAAGAUAAAGGUAAAGGGACCCCUGACCAUUAAGUCCAGUCACGGACUACUCUGGGGUUGCGGCGCUCAUCUCGCUUUAUCGGCCAAGGGAGCCAGCGUACAGCUUCUGGAUCAUGUGGAAAGCAUGACUAAGCCGCUUCUGGCGAACCAGAGCAGCGCAUGGAAACGCCAUUGACCUUCCCACCGGAGCAGUACCUAUUUAUCUAAUUGCACUUGAUGUGCUUUCAAACUGCUAGGUUGGCAGGAGCUGGGACUGAGCAAUGGGAGCUCACCCUGUCAUGGGGAUUCGAACCGCCAACCUUCUGAUCGGCAAGCCCUAGGUUCUGUGGUUUAGACCACAGAGCUACCCGCGUUUUUCUGGGGGUACUCAAAGGUAUGCAGUGCCCACACCUUUCUCCCUCCCUCGAAGAAGAAUAGCAUUGUCUAUACCUAUUACUUAGCCUGCGAUAACUUAGAUGAAAUUGCUAUAAGCUGAUGGACCCAAGUCUACAAGUAUGUCAGCAAAGGGAUUUUACCAUCAAAUUACAUUUUACUUGUACUAGAAAACAAGACAUGUGUUAUGACAGAGGAUUUGAUCCACAUUCUUAAACCCAGGGCUUUUUCUUUUUUCCUUAGCUAGAACUCAGCAGAACUCAGUUCUGGCACCUCUCUGGUGGGCGCCAUUGCCAUUAUAAGAGAACAAGGAAGGUGUUCAUGGUGAGAUCCGGCACCUCUUUUUCUAGAAAAAUAACACUGCUUAAACCUAAAUUCUAAUUUAGGGUUUAGAAUUCUAAAUUAGGAUUUAGAAGUUUUAAAAGCCUUUCUCACUGCUGUGGAAAUCCAUAGCAGUGCAUGUCAAUGCCUGGCCUCCUCACCCAAAAUUAUUCUCUGAGAAUAAGCAUCUCCUUGGCCCUGUCUCAGAGCCCACAGGAUGUAGGAAGCUGGAAGGUGGAGGUGAAUGGCUAGCCAGCAGCUGCCGAUGGGAACCGGACCCUGCGAUUGGUGGUGAAGUUGCAUGCUCUGGCACCAGGGGCGGAGAGCAGGCGGGAGCAUAGCUGGCGUGCGUCCCGGGGCAUGGCAUGUCACCUGCGGGGGCAUGGCGUGCGUCCCGGGGCAUGGCAUGCUGUCUGUGGGGGCGUGGCAUGCGUCACGCAGCAGGAGGUGCACAGUGCAUGUCCGGGGGGCAGCCACGAUGGUACUCCCCUCCCCAAUGGUGCUGGGGGGGUACGCUCCCCCCACCCCACCCCCAUUCCCCCGCCAGUGCCUGCAAUGAGUGAGUGGGUAGCAGGCUGGGCCUGGGAGGGGUCACGAUGAGUAUCGGGGCUCUUGGUGUCAGGUCUGCCAGGAUCCACUGCCAAUGAUGGUCUCUUCCAGGGUGAUUGUUCUGGGUUCCCAGUAAACACAGCUGUGGCCAACAUCUUAGUUUUUCCAAAAUGCAAUACCCUGGAUAUUUUGUCAAUCCAUUACAUUGUGGGUAAACAAAACAAAACAAAACCUGGUGCUGACUUCAAAACAUAACAGCCAUCAUGCUUUGUCAUGUGUGUUGUUGUUUUUACCCACAAUGCCAUGGGACAAUUGAACUUCUGGAGCACCAUAUUUGGGGGGAAACACAAUGCUGACCACAGUCACGGCUGCUUGGGAUUCAUCAGAUCAUACACUGCCAAUGAACCCCACCAUCCUGGAGUCUGUCUGGAAUGUACCCAUACAGAAUAUCUGCCAAGGGCUACACAGCAUUCCAAAUUAGUAAAAUAGCAUUUAAAAGGUAUAAUAGAGAUGAAUUUUAUUUGUCUUUCAGCACAGUUACAGCAUAGGCUCCCAUGGUGCAGAACACUAUUUUCUGUUGGAAACUGUAAAGUUAAACAGCUUUUCCAAGCCUCCUGUUAGUGUCCACCAUUUUUCGGAAAUGUCAACAUUUGAGCGAUUGGCAUUAUGGGAGCCUGGCAUACAGUUUGGCAAGGAGGUACCAUGCUGUGGGUGUCAGAGAGGAUGUCAUACAUCAGCAAAACAAUAUUCACCAGCUGGCAUCUCGUAAGUGACAUUUUUAAUUAAAAACAUAUUUUAAAAAAAGAGUUCACAGUUUAUACAUCGUGAUAUGUUCCCUUUUGGGUUCACUAUUGAGCCUGAUUGUUAACAAGUGUGUGUGUGUGGGGGGUGCUAUUUAUUUAUUUUCUUUCAUUGAAUCAAAUCAGCAUGUUGAUUUUCCAACAAGACUCUGCUCCGUCUCAAGAACAGGUUGUGUGCACAUUUGCUACCACCCUGAGAGUGGAAAUUUGCUAUGGAAUGACUUCUGCUAUCACACAAGACUUUGAAAUUUCUCAGUGCUAAACUAUACAUGAAACAGUUAUGCUUCAUCUAUGUGUGUAACUUCUAUAUGGACCAUAGCUCAAAGGUAGAGUAUCUAUGUUGCAUGCCAAGGGUCUCUCGUGUCUACAGGUAGGACUAGAAAAUGCGCCUAGUUUCUGUGUUUCUAUGUUCCUAUGUCAGUCUUCUCAAUCUUUGUUAUGUUUUGUGCCAUAGAAAACAGCCAAACUAUAUCCUAUUUUGAGCCACAUGCUCCUAAUGAAUGUGGAUUAAUGUCAAUCUUGGGGAAUCAGACCCCUCCCCUGGUGGCAAUAAAAGAUGCAGAUAAAAGAAAAGGAAAGUUCUUACCAUUUAAAAGGUAAAGGGACCCCAGACAAUUCGGUCCAGUCGUAACUGACUCUGGGAUUGCGGCGCUCAUCUCACUUUAUUGGCCAAGGGAGCCGGCGUACAGCUUCCGGGUCAUGUGGCCAGCAUGACUAAGACACUUCUGGCGAACCAGAGCAGCACACGGAAACGGUGUUUACCUUCCCGCUGGAGUGGUACCUAUUUAUCUACUUGCACUUUGAUGUGCUUUUGAACUGCUAGGUGGGCAGGAGCAGGGACCGAGCAAUGGGAGCUCACCCCGUCAUGGGGAUUCGAACCGGCGACCUUCUGAUCGGCAAGUCCUAGGCUCUGUGGUUUAACCUACAGAGCCACCCGUGUCUCUUACCACCAAUUAGUUUAUUCAAUAAUCACAGCGAGAGACAAAGGAAUGCGUCUCUCUCUAGAAACUGUGUUGCUCCAAGCAAAGUCCCACCCCUCCAUCUCUACUAAUCCAUGUCACCCCUACAUCAGCUAAUCUGAGCUUUCUGUCGCUGAGCUUUCUGUUCUACCACCCUCAAUGCCCGCCUAGUUUUGGGAGGCGGGGUCAGGAAUGGUUUCCAAAGACACCGAGUCUGUCAGCUGUCUCUCUCCUGGUGCUUCUUCUUCCUGCUGUUCCUCUUCCAAUAUUUCCCAGGUUCUCCCCUCUGCAGCUUCUGAACUAUGCCCUUCUGCAAACCACUGUUCUAAAUCUAUGAUGUCCUCCUGUCCUCGGGAAGGUUCAGGAGAAGCAGGGGAUGGCCCUCACCAUUCCUCCUCAGUCCAGUCCCUGACAAUUAAUUUCAGAGGUGGAGUUCCAGGUGAAUUGGAGCUGGGAUUUAACAGAAUCUGUGAGUAGGCCUGACAGCUCCCCAAAUGUCUGUAUGCUACAUUAAGCUUUGACUAAGAUGUGCAGAGGACUUCAGGGCAUUGGACAGGUUGCUAAUGUUAGUAGUGGGUGCUUUCAUACAUGUACAGUGGUACCUUGGUUCUCAAACAUAAUCCAUUCCAGAAUUCCGUUCCAAAACCAAGGCACACUUUCCCAUAGAAAGUAAUGCAAAAUGGAUUAAUCCGUUCCAGACUUUUAAAAACAACCCCUAAAACAGCAAUUUAACAUGAAUUUUACACUCUAAUGAGACCAUUGAUCCAUAAAAUGAAAGCAAUAAUCAAUGUACUGUAAUAUAAAAUAAAUAACACAGUAUUGUAGUUUUUUUUAAAAAAAAAUCUUACUUCAUCUGAUGAUCAUCAUUGUUUGGAGGGGGGACUUUUAUCCAUUUCCACAGUCACACAAUCAAUCAAUCAGCUGAACUGGAUUCCACACACCCACAAAAACAAAUUAACCGAAAAAGCCUCAAAAACAAAAACACAAAAUAAAUAGCAAAACCAAAAGCGCCAAAUACAGUGGUACCUUGGUUCUCGAACGUAAUCUGUUCCGGAAGUCUGUUUGACUUCCGAAAUAUUCGAAAACCAAGGUGCGGCUUCUGAUUGGUGCAGGCACCCCGGAAACAAUAGCCGACAGCCGCAUUGGAUGUUUGGCUUUCGAAAAACAUUUGAAAAUGGGAACACUUACUUCUGGGUUUUCAGUGUUUGGGAACCAAGGCGUUUGAGAACCAAGGUACCACUGUACUUUGGCACUAAGUGUGGCUGUAAUGUUACAGAUUGAUUUCAGGCCUGUGACAUGUCAGAAAGCAUGGCAGAGGAAGUGGGACAAUGCCCAUGAGUCUUGCUGCCAUCCAACAACUUCCAUCCAUGUUCUCAGGCACUAGCGCCAAAGGGCCAGUGUACACCUGGCUUCUUCAUAUGAGCAAAAGCUUUGAGGCAAUCAGGGUUCAAAUUGCAUGGGGAACCAGAAUGGGCAGGCAUCAAGACAUGGUACUAGUCUUCCCCUGCCUCUUUUCUGUGUGUAUCAGUAGUGGGGGGCAUGAUGGGACAGUGGCACUCACCUGACAGCCUAACAGCUGAGAUUUUUCUGCUUACCAGAAAGAGAGGAGAAUGGUCAAGGUGGUCAGGAGUUCUGUGCGGUGCAUAUGCACUGGCAGGAUGUUAGUUUAGUCCUGCCAGUGGGUUCGCACUGCAGCACCCUCCCCACUGGCUCACCGCUCAAUCUCUCCCACCCAUUAAUCAGUGGUGACUCAGCUGCCGAGAGGUCCGGUGAGUGCCACCAUGCCACCAUGCCACCUGCUACAGCUGUGGUUGUGUGUGUGUGUUUGUCUCACACGCCACUAGCAUAUUUCAAAAUUUCCAGUGUUAAUUUUGAUCAUGGUUUCAUUUAACAAAGUAAAGGCAGUUUCUUAGCGCUCACUCUGAUUCAGAGAUCAGGCAUGCAUAACUCUAGCCAAGGUGUUGCAGACUGGAGAGAAUGGAUGGGUAUCAUUUAAUGUGGUCAAUUUCUAAAACAGAGUUUCCCAUUGUUCAAGUCUACUUUGAUGCUAGAGUUUUUGAUUUGGCAACCAUUAGCUCUAACCCUAGAUGUAUAGGGGUUGCUUAGAAGUUCACUGUUCAGAAAGAGGGGGAUUUGCCCUGCCAGAUCUUAAACUUUACUAUGAAUCAGCCGCUUUUUGUUGGCUGAAAGAUUGGCUACUUCUUGAAAAUGUGGACAUUUUAGAUUUAGAAGGUUUCGAUAAUGUGUUUGGGUGGCAUGCAUAUCUAUGGUAUGACAAAGUUAAAGCGCAUAAGGCCUUCAAGAAUCAUAUUGUCAGGAAAGCAUUAUUCAAUGUUUGGGUGAGAUAUAAGGAUUUGUUGGAAAGUAAAACACCAAGGUGGCUGUCACCAAUGGAGGCUAAGGCUUUGAAAAAAACAAACAUGGAGACAAAUUGGCCAAAAUAUUGCGAAAUUUUAGAACAAGCCGGAGAUAAAUUAAAAUUGCAGAGCUUCGACAAAUUAAAAACUAAAGUUCGAGAUUGGGUGCAUUAUUAUCAAAUAAGGGAGGUUUUUAAUUUAGAUAAAAAGAUAGGUUUCCAGGAGGAAAAAUCUAAACUGGAAACGGAAUUGUUAGAACCUAAAACUAAAAAUUUGUCAAGAAUGUAUAAUCUGCUGUUGAAAUGGAAUACACAGGAUGAAAUGGUUAAAUCUGCUAUGAUUAAAUGGGCGCAAGAUGUGGGGCAUAAUAUUAUGUUUGCUGACUGGGAACGGUUAUGGACCACAGGUAUGAAAUUUAUGGCCUGUAACACCUUAAGAGAAAACAUAAUGAAAAUGAUAUACAGGUGGUACUUAACCCCAGUCAAGCUAGCAAAAAUCUAUCAUCUGCCUGAUAAUAAAUGUUGGAAAUGUAAAGAAAAUGAAGGUACUUUUUUCCACCUUUGGUGGACGUGCCCAAAGAUCAAGGCCUUCUGGGAAAUGAUAUAUAAUGAACUAAAAAAGGUAUUGAAAUAUACUUUCUUGAAGAAACCAGAGGCCUUCCUCUUGGGCAUGGUUGGCCAAUUGGUGCGAAGGGAAGAUAGGAAUUUCUUUAUGUAUGCGACAGCAGCGGCAAGAAUACUCAUUGGGAAAUACUGGAAGACACAAGAAUUGCCUACCCGAGAAGAAUGGCAGAGAAAAGUGAUAGACUAUAUGGAACUGGCUGAGAUGACCGGCAGAAUACGAGAUCAAGAAGAAGGGUCGAUGGAAGAAGAUUGGAAAAAAUUUAAAACAUAUCUUCAGAAAUACUGUAAUAUAAAAGAAUGUUAGAAAAGGCUGGAGAAGAACAUUAGACCGUAUUGGCAGACAGAGUAUAAUGGAACAAGUAAAUAUGUAGUGUAAAAUAAAAAAUAGAGGAGAACUAAAUAUUUUUGAAUGUUAAAUUAAGUAAAUGAAAAGAAGGUUAGAAGGGUUUGCUGGAGAUACGAUUUAAAUUAGAAUACAAAGCAGAGAAGUGAGAGGAAGUCUUGGAAAUAAGUAAAUGGGAAAAUGAUCUUAAUGGUUUAAUUUGAUUUUUUGUUAUUUUUGUAUUGUGAUUUUUUGUCUUUUGUAUUUUUUUCUGUAUCGUGUGUUGUUUUCUUUUUCUUGUAGGGUGUAUGUGAUCUGUUUUUCUUUUUUUGCUUUUUUCUUUCUAUGUAAUUCUAAAAUUGGAAUAAAUAUUCUUUAAAAAAAAAAUAGAAGUUCACUGUUCAUACAUCAUGAUGUAUUUCUUUUCUGGGUGAUCAUUAUGGAGCACAAGUUCAGGCACACCUCAUUUAAUUAUUCAUUCAUUCAUUCCCCGCCCAUCUGGCUGGGUUUCCCCAGCCACUCUGGGUGGCUCCCAACAGACUAUUAAAAACACGAUCAAACAUCAAACAUUAAAAAUUUCCCUAAACAGGGCUGCCUUCAGAUGUCGUCUAAAAGUCAGAUAGUUGUUUAUUUCCUUGACAUCUGAUGGGAAGGCGUUCCACAGGGCAGGCGCCACUACCGAGAAGGCCCUCUGCCUGGUUCCCUGUAACUUCACUUUUGCAGUGAGGGAACCACCAGAAGGCCCUCGGAGCUGGACCUCAGUGUCUGGGCUGAACAACGGGGGUGGAGACGCUCCUUCAGGUAUACCGAGCCGAGGCAGUUUAGGGCUUUAAAGGUCAGCAUCAACAUUUUAUUGAUUUAGGUGCUUCACAGAUAUUGCUCCUUACAAGGAAGCAGCUGCAGCUGCAAGUAGCCCAGCCACCCCUGCCCCUCUUCUUGCCAUGAGAAUGGACCUGGAAAAGGCUGCAUACAGAAUACUAUUAGAAUGGGAGACGAAAGAUGAAGAGGUAAAAUUAGUUAUGAUUAAAUGGGCCCAAGAUGUAGGUCACAACAUUAUGAUGGAAGAUUGGGAAAAAUUAUGGAAAACUGAUUUAAAAUUUACAGAUUGUUCCCUAUUGAAGGAGAAUUACAUGAAGAUGAUGUAUAGAUGGUACACAACACCAGUGCAGUUAGGGAAAAUGAACAAAACUAGUUCAAAUAUAUGUUUCAAGUGUAAGGAAAAGGAGGGGACAUUUUAUCAUAUGUGGUGGGAAUGUAAUGUAAUUUAAAAAAUUUGGGAAAUGAUAUACAACAAAUUGAAGAAAAUGUCCCAUUUAACAUUUGUUUAAAAACCUGAAGCAUUUUUGUUGGGGAUUGUAGGGAAAGAUCUGCCAAAAAAGCUGAAAAACAUCUUCAUGUAUGCGACAACGGCCGUGAGAGUUUUGGUAGCACAAGGAUGGAAGACUGAAGAAACCCCAACUAAAGAAUCAUGGCAAGAAAAAUUGAUGGACUAUGCAGAACUGGCAAAACUGACAUAUAAGGUACGGGACAAGGAUAACUGUGACUUUAAAGAUGAAUGGAAACCCUUUAGAAAGUAUCUGAAGAUGCAACAAAGCGAACUGGACUCCUUGGCUGGUUUUGAAUAAAUAUUCACAAACUUUUUAUUGAUAAUAAUCAGCUAAAUAGUUUGAGGAUCUAUACAACUUUGUAACAUGCAGAAAACAGCAUUCUCAGAGAAAUCAAAGUCUGGAACUGAGGGAAGCUGGGGGGUGGGUGGGUGGGUUUUGUGGGGGGGGGAGGGAGGAAAAAUGGGGUGGGGGAGAAGGAUGAUAUGUUUUUGGAUAAUAUGUUUUGUUUUAAUUUUGAAUAAAAAAAGUUGGGGGGGUGGAGAGAAUGGACCUGGCCAGUGGUGUAAUAUGGUUUGCUGGCACCUGGGGCAUGUAGCCAUGUGUGUCAGGGGGCAAGGUGUAGAGGAUGAAUAGAACCUGUAACGCCAUCCCAGCCCUCGUCGCCAACACCACCAGAGGGCAGGGAAAUGAAGGUCCAGUAAUAUCUGGAAGGCCACAGCUCCCCCCCCCAGCCCUUCCACAGAUGUUACUACUUUGCCUGCACGAUUCACGAGAAAAUGUUGGCGUUGCUACUUUUAAUUCAGAUAAUUUUACAUGUCUCAAUUCCAGCUUAACUCUAUACGAGACCCAUCGCUCUGCUCCAAGAUUGUUAUCUUGUGGUUAUUUUGUGCCACAUGCAGUUCAGUUUUUCAAUAGCUGUAAUUUAUUUUUUCUUGCCUUGUCUCCUUAUUGCCAUAAUUGUGGCUGAAUGUGGAUAAUAGAAGAAGGGCAAUCUGAAGGCUUGGUAUUAAUCACCCUUUCAUUUUUGAAUGUUGUGGAAAAUUAAGCGGUAGCCAAGAGUAAUUUGCUACGUGACAACUUUUUAUUAUUAUCUUGAAUGGUGGGAUUAUUUUUCCUAGUGUUUAAUGUGAACAUUUCAACUUAUAUUACUCUCUCAAUUGAAAAAGGUUUUCUUUUUUGCAGGGAAGGAAGUUAAUGUAUUUUUACCAGAGCAACACAACGUAGACAUAAUGAAUAGUCUUCUAUAGGUGCAAGUAUGGAUAGGUUGUUCUGUCAAUAUCAGUUUCUUUCCAUUUCUCUCUCCGCCUCUGACUCCUAAGGACAUAGAACAGGCUGUACAUCUGUUCCUGGAUAUAAGAACUACCUUCAACUACACCUCCUUCUUGUCAGGAUUCAGUCGGACUUUGCAUUCAUCAUCUGAGCCGUUUCUUCAUGUGCUUCCUCCAUGAGAGUUCUGGAGGUUGGUUGCAUGAGAAUUGGCCUUUUCUGUGGUGGCGCCCCAUUUGUGGAAGAGCCUAGGGCUUGCCGAUCAGAAGGUCAUCGGUUCGAAUCCCCGCGAUGGGGUGAGCUCCCGUUGCUCUGUCCCAGCUCCUGCCAACCUAGCAGUUCGAAAGCACGUCAAAGUGCAAGUAAAUAAAUAGGUACCGCUGCGGCGGGAAGGUAAAGAGUGUUUCCGUGUGCUGCUCUGCUUUGCCAGAAGCGGCUUAGUCAUGCUGGCCACACGACCCAGAAGCUGUACGCCGGCUCUCUCGGCCAAUAAAGCGAGAUGAGCGCUGCAACCCCAGAGUCGGUCACGACUGGAUCUAAUGGUCAGGGGUCCCUAUACUCUUUACCUUUACCUACUGAGGGAGUCUCACCUGGCACCUUCAUUAUAUAUCUUUAGGCACCAGGCAAAAACAUUUCUCCAUAACCAAGCCUUUGGCUGAUUAACAUUCUAUGGCCUUUAGGCUCCAACAAAUGUUGGCAGUGCAAAGAAAAAGAAGGCACUUUUUUUCAUAUGUGGUGGAAUUGUAUAAUAAUUAAAAACUAUUGGGAAAUGAUAUAUAAUGAAAUGAAAAGAAUGUUUAAGAUAACUUUUGUGAAAAGAUCAGAAGCUUUUUUUAUUAGGCAUUUCAGGUCAAGAUUUGCCAAAAGAAAAGAAAAGAACUUUUUAUGUAUGCUGCAAUGGCAACUAGGAUAUUACUAGCCCAAAGAUGGAAAACUGAGGAAAUAACAACUAAAGAAAAAUGGCAAGGAAAACUGAUGGAAUACGCUGAAAUGGCAAAGUUAACUGCAAGAUUUUGCAAAAAAGAUAAUAGAGAUUUUAAGGAGGACUGGGAACCAUUUAUGUUAUACAUACAGAAACAAUGUAAAGACAUGGACUUACUAGCAGGUUUUGACUAAACACUUACAACCAACAAAAUAAAUACAGGAAUCAUUCUAUGGCCUUUAAAAUGUGUUUGUGGGAGGGGGC